rnacentral:lncRNA from 1 species
CAGACAGAGGAAGCUGGGACAAGCUGGGAAGGAGAACACCGGGGAGGGGGCCACCAGCAGCAACAGAAAGCAACUGGAAAUGGCCCUAAUGACAGAGAAAGCAUAUCUGAGGGCUGAGCAUGCUCAUCUUCCUCCCCAUUCCCUGCCCCUUGCAGCCUCCCCCGACACAGACAGCAGCGUGGCCAGUGGAAGGACAUCAGAGACUUGCAUUUCAUGGGAAACAGCAUCAGUGAAAGCCACUCGACACUAAAUAAAUAAAAAAUUUCUCUUCUGAGAACAGAUGUUGGAGUUGAGCUGACUGCCUUGCCACCUGGGCAGCCCUCACCCUUUCACUGGCAUUUUUGCUCCGUGGACAUUGCCUGCACCAUUAAGGAGGUAAGCACUUGAACAGUGAGCACACUGUGCAGCAGAUUCACACUCCGCAGGCAUGCUCCUUAACUGAGAUGUGUCUGCUCACUAUGCCGGCUCUGUGAUUUAUUGUUUGCCAGACUGAAAACCCUAAUCAACAGCCUUGUGUUCUCAGUGCUAUGUUAUGUGCUGGGGGAGCGGUAGGGUUCAGCGGAGUUCUUCUUUCCCAAUCUUCAUAGGCAAGCAGCCUCUUUCUUUCCCCCAUGCAAAGCAAGCAUUCAGUUAUUGUGGGAAAAAUCUAACUGCAGGGACAAACUGUAAACUUUUCCAGCAGAAAGCACAAGCAACCCUGACUCUUUGUUAUAAGCAUUUCAUUCCAGGUUUGUGCAUGGAGGACCUGGAUUCAUGUGGUGUGUGAAGCUGAGCACAGGGGCAUAGAGACUGAGGGAUUAAAUCAAAGGGAGGGUGGGGCAAAGAAAACCAUGGGAAUGAAGAACAAGUGGCCAAGAAAGACUGGAGGCGUGGAGAGGAGACGGGAGAGGAUACAGACAGCUGAAGAAUGGGAAUUGGCUAAUGGGCGAUCAUAUGAAUGGUGUGAAUCAUCCUGUGCUGAUCUCUUCUUCCACUCGUUUGAUUACCGCAGACAUCACUUGGCGUUUUUCCAGGAUGUCUUUCUGAGAAUAGAAGUCUCUCUUAUGUUUCUGGUGUGCAGGAGGUGAGCUAGGAAAAGUUGAAGACUAGAAAACAGUAGCUUUUGGAAGACAUGUGGCACCUCACUGAUCUGAAAAUAGAGCUGAACUGGAAACUUCAUUAAAAAGUUUAAGCCGUUGCCACCUGGCAGGUUUCCUAUUUUUUGAGGGGGUGGUUGCUGUCCAGUAAUAUGUUUUGCUAGACUGUGGGAAAUGAUUCAUUUCUAUCUAGUGUGGCAUCCCCUGAAGAAUUCUUUUCACUGAGUUGCAUUUUUGCCUUCUCUUAAUUGAUUUGAGAUGUAUAAAUAUCAGCAUAUUAUGUUUGUGACUGGAGUCAGUUCCAGCCUUUUUGCUAACCUAAACGUACCAUCCACCAAACAUCUGAGCAUUUUCAUAAGGAACGGGAAGAUAAAUUUUAAAGGUUUGUCUUUCCUCAUGGGCUGCAGGAUUUGGCCAGUCCAGUUGCACAUAGGACGUAUUUGUGUUUAAGACUUUUCUGAAUCUGGACAGGGAUCUCUUGUACUUCAUCUUCCACCACAAAUACCCCCUUGAGAUAUAUUCAUCUGUAUAGUACUGCCAAGAAGAACUGAUUGAAGUAGCAACUAACAGUAUUGUUGACACUGUGAUUUUAAUUUCCAAAGUGAAUACAAUAAUUUUUUUCAGCUGAGCCUCAGUGCCCUUGCUGGCAGCUGUCAUGUUGGAGAGGAUGAAUGUGUCCUAAACUGUCAGAAAUCUUCUGUUGCCAGAUCCUUUCUUGAUGGUAUUUAGAACAGUUUCAACACAUCUGCUGUUUUGUUCUGGAGGAUUGGGUUGGAAGCUCUGGAGUGAGACGCAAGGAACAGCGUCAUCUAUGCCUGCUGUCAGAGCUUUUCAAACACAAAAUGUAUCAACACGAAUGAUGCCAUAUGUUCUUCAUCGCUGCGAAUUGCGUGCCUUCUGACAACAAGAUAGAGGAGGAAGAUUUAUCAGGAGAAUGUUGCCAGAUGCUGUCCAGAGAACAGAGGCGGUCUGUAGCUCUGAGCUAAGGCUAAGUGCUUGUUCCAUACCAAGCCAGUAAACUUCUGGCAUUGUAACAAAUGUGUAUGAGUAUUUGAAGGUUUGAGAGGGAGACGAUGAAUAAUAACGUCUCCUAAUUGAAUAGGAAUAGAGUUAGCUUUUAAAGCCUCAGCAAGUUUGUUGGUUUUAUUUAUUUAUUUUUAUUUUUACUAUUAUUAUUAUUUGCAGAUGUUCAAAUUAAAGUACAUGCCAUUAUAAAAACAAAACAAAAGAAAAACCCUUGGAUGUUCCAAUCAUCUAUUAAAAUAGUAGUUUGGUAUAAUUUGUGGAGCCUGUGAGCUUUAGAAAGUUGUUUUGCCUGUUUGGUCCCCUUGAUGAUGAUGUUGGAAUAAACUACAAACUAACUUUGAAGAUGACAGCUAAGUGGUCUUCAGCUAGUGAUUGGUAGAUUGCUAAUUAGCUCAUAUGAAAGAUCAGGUUUGUUUCUGUGCUGACCACGUUGCUGUUCCUACCGAACACACAACACUUUCAAAAGAUGGGAAUACAUUUUCUACUCCCUAUUCCCAGAGUAAAAAUCAGAAGAGAUAAAUCACGUGAGAAACUAGCAACAAGAAUAAGAAAAGCAUUCUGAAUUUGGAGAAAGGUUGUUUGGAGAAACAUUGAGUGAAAGAAAUGAAGAAACCUGGGGAAAAUAUACCUGCUCUGUUGAAAAAAAAAAAAAAAUAGAGGCAGAAUGAAAAAGCGAACCAUUUGCUUGGUUCAUCAGUGUGUUCUCAGUUGUGAACCAUUUGAGUGGAUACAUGCUUAAUUAUGAUCCUGCAGGAGUAUGUACAUCAGCUGCACAGUUGAUGGGAAAAAAAAGAAGAUUAAAAUGAAUACGUUCUGCGAGUACCAAGAUGGGUAAGAGUUGAAAUAAAUGCAGGUUAAGGAUAUGCAUUUGAAGAUUUGAGAUGGAGAGAAUGAAUUAUAUUCUCAUUGGGUAGGGAUACAUUUGGCUUUGGAAGAUGGAACUCAGCUGUAAUUGUCCGUUUCUGACCAAGAUGUUACAUCCAAUUUCUCUGAUCACUUAAGGAGGGACUGUUGAUUUAAGUUAAGCUAUAGUUUCUGUCUUGUUAUAGAAAAGAAAUGGAAGCAGUGGGUAAUGUACAUAAAGUGAGGACUGAUAAACAGAUCAAAAGAAACUCCAACAGUCGCUUAGAUUUGUUUAAACUUUUUUGUUCUAUUUUCAUCAUCACGUAUGUGCAAACUGAAAAGAUGUAAUAUUAUCAGAUUGAUUUCUGUAACUGAACUUAAAGAAAAAAUAUGAACAGGAUGAGGUAACGUGGACAAAGAGAUCCCAUAUUAACCAUGACAUCUCCAAACACAUUAAAGCGUUUCUCUCAGUAGGGAUAAAUGUAUCUCUGUUAUUAAUAGGAAUCAUGACUAGCAGCUUACUAAUACAUAGGUGAAAUGUCUGUAUAUGUAGCAAAGUACAUAAAGGCAGAUGAGUAAAAUACUGAGCACUUCAAAAAAGAGGAGGCACAUAAGUUAAAAAUAGAAAUGAUUAUUACAUUAUGAAGUUCUUUAUAAAUUUUGGAAUAUCUUACAUCAUUCUACAGCACUGGGAUUAGAAAAAAAUAACACUGUGUGGAGUUACAUGGAGCAUAUUUUUAAAUGUUUAUGAGAGAGAAAUGAUCAAAGGGAAAUACCACGUGGUUAAACCAGAGGUUUGUCACUUGUGAACACUAAUAUUCAAAACUUUACGUUAUGUGUACAGGUCCAAUUUAAUGCAAAGAGGUGUUCUGUUUUUUCUCUCUCUCUCUCUCUUUUAUUUUCAUUAAAAGAGCCAACCAGGUAAUUUGAGAAACGUACAACAGUGGUUUACAUUUAACAUAUUCCUACUGCUGACAUACAAUCCUAUGUUCACCUGCUCACUCAGGGUAUGAUAAUCCAAAACAUGUUCUGUUUUAACCCUGCUAUUUAUCUGUGAAGAUGGCUGAGAGCAGGACUAAGCUUCCUGGUGAGUUUCAUUGGCCAGAUACUGCUAGAUCAAAUUGCAGAUCAGCCUGCACAAAACAGCUGGGAAGACCUGCAUCUACAGGUCAGAAGACCUGCAUCUCUUUUGAUACAAGAAGGCAUAUUCUGUAAAAAUUUGCUUUCAACUGAACAAAGAGAUUCUGAAGCCAAAUUCCUGUCUACUAGAAUGGGAAGGGCAUGCUGGUAGGAAAUGGCAUUACAAAGCAUAUAGUCAGAGAAAUGGAAACAAAACUGCAGUGUCCUAGACGUCAGAACACUCCAGAUACCGUCAGCGAAAGGACAAGAUCGGCGCAGUGAUAUGCAUCCCAGAAAGGCAGGACAACAGCUCCACUGUAGCUUAUUUCUAUGAAUACAGAGAGCUAACACAGUAACAGUCCGUACCAGAAGGCAAUAGUGCUGUGUUAGUGGCUUAAGGACAAUAUUAAAUCUUCCAAAACAUACAAAAAUAUCCCUGCAAAGCAGGCUGACUUUGAACAGACUGCCAGUGGAGGAUAAGGAAGACUGGCUUGUGAUCCUUCUCAGGAAACCUGUUAAAAAAACUUCCUACAGAGUCCUCAACAUUACAGAAGUACGCAAUACCUAACACUGGUUUGUGGCAGCCCCAUAAGCCACCACAGAGAGAGAUGAUCAUUUAUUGACGCAGGACAACUGUUGUGCGACUCUUCACUCAACGCAUUUAUCACACGGAAUUUUUCACACUAUAGAUUGCAAGAGCCUGGUGUCCUUAAAUUAGCCUUGGCAGUCUUAGCAUCAUGUAACAGAAGAUCCAACAUUCCGCCUCCCAGUAACAGCAAAGGGCCACCCCAGCCUCCAUGUCAGGGCCUGAUCAUGCACUGCAGUGCAAAUAGUCUUCUCGCAAAGUUCUAACAUUUUAAACAGAUAAACCCUCCCGAAUAAAGAUCUCCAUACAUGUUAAACCUCCUACCUGCAUGCAUUUUUCUUUCAUUUACCAUUUGUAGAGGUAGAGCACUUAGCGUAUGAUAAACUGCAGAGAGUUCCUGUCUGAUGAGACCAAACCAAAUAUACUGUGCUUUAGGCAAAAUAGUAACACAUCCAGCACUCUGUUAAGG